AGUGAAUGUGUUCAUGUAGGAAAGUAUACUUAAGUCUCUUCUAGGGGGAAAAUGAUUCAUUUGACUUACAGUAGGAAAAGAAGAUGAUUUCCUUUGUGUAAGACUCCAUGGAGAAUUCCAUAUUUGGAAACUGUGUGCAGUUCCCCGUAUUUGGGAGAAUCUGUUUGCUGUUUCCUAAGGGUGUGUUCCUAACUGUGAGAACAGCCUAGACUUAAAAGGCAGAGGACUUUCUUCCCACUAGGAAUGCAGUCUACCAAGCUGCUUCAGCUGCUUCUUUGUCCAACUGAACAUUUGUCUUUCAUUUGAAUAUUGAAUUUAGUUAUCUGUUUGGAGAAUACAGAUUAAAUGACCAUCUUGUUAUUACAUCCUCUUUGGAUCCUAAACUUAAGACAGGCAGACAGUAGUUUUACCUAUUUAUCUGAAACAGCAGGUGGUUUGAUUAGGAAACUACAGGACAACAAUAGAUGAGAAAUUUUGCAGCUGGAAUAAAUUAAGCGUCUCCACGUAGAAGUCUGUAUUUACCAUGGCUCCAAGAGUCUUUCACAUUCAUUCACUAAAGUGACAGCAUAGGGUUUUGUAGAAUGGGGGUUUUAUGCGUGGCAGCAAACUUGAAAAUGUCAAAGUGACUGGGAAAAUUCCUUAGGAUUUAUGUUUUAAGUUAAUGCUUAAUCAGACUUUGCAAAAGCCAACCAAUCUGAUAGAGUGGUGAGAUAGGAGUCAGGUAAGACACAAAAUCCUUAUUAUAACAUGGGUAAUAACAUUAUAGCACCAUAACUAGUAGCUUUGUUUUCAAAGUAGGCUGUAAAGUGUGCUCUGGGCUGAAAUAUAGUGUAUGUAAAUAGAUUGUCCUUGCAAAACUUCUUUCUGGAAGGCUAAUACUCCCAGCUGCUCUGGGUCAAAAAAAAAAAAAAAAAUCAGAGAAAAGCUCUAGAAAACACAUCAGAACAUCAGAACUCCAUGCAGAAGGAAAAAAACUAAGUUUGCAUUUUUUGUGGUCUCAUUAACCUGUAGGUACUUCUGAGUUCUCCAUUUCUGCAGUAUCAGCGUACAGCGGCAUCGCACUGCUCACCAAAAAGUUGUUGGGGUCAAAUAUGAAGCAACUGUUGACUUUGCCUGAAUUCUAUUGAAUGUUCGUGUGUUACUGAUUUGAGCAUUAUAUUUUCUCCUUGUGUGGCUGUGGCAUUCCUUGGAGGGGAUGUCCGUGCCCAAGAGCCAGGUGGUGGAACCUGAGCCGAUGCUGCCGUUUGCAAGAGCAGAGGGAAGUCAUGCAGCCAGAAGUAAGAAAACUGAAGCUAGUACGUGAUUCCAGUUAUCGUGUGGUCUUUGGAAAAAACAAGCCCGUACUGCUCUAUGACCAAGCCAACAAUUCCUGAACAGUAAUUUAUAGUGAGAGCGGGCCAGAAAGACUACCAGCAUCCAACCAAAAAACACUCCUCAUGGAGAACCCGUUGUGCAGAAGAUGAAGGAUAAAAUUCCAGCUUAUUUGUGCGCACCUCUCCUAAAGAACACGGACCAGAGCACAUUAAACCCAAGUGGUCAGGUAGAGCCAUUUCGUUAAAGAGGAGCUGGAAGUUUUGACGUCGUAUGUCGUAUUUGUGAGCAUUUUGAGACAGAGUAUUUAGAAAACCUGUGGAGAUUCAGGUAUCGCCCUGGAAAGUAUCAGUUGGUUAAGUUGUCAGUAAAAAAAACCCCAAACUUUUACCACACUGCAGUGCUUAAGUACUGAAAACAUUUAACACAUCUGAAUAAAUAGUGAAAGUAGAGGAUUUUGCAGAUGACUGGGAAACGAGAAAAGAGAAAUGAUUAAUAUUCUAAAAUACAGCAGAACAGCACAUUAAGCAACUUAAAUGUCUGUAAACAUAAUAAGGACUAGAUGCAAAAAUGGUAGGGUUUUUAUUUCUUUAGAAACAGAAGCAAUAAAUCUAGAUCUCUGUGAUAAUACAAGGGAGAAAGAAGAAGCUGCUGCACGCAAACCUGCCUCCUGCCUUUUAGUCUCCUCUGUCCAGUGCCAAAAGGGUUUACCUGUGCGGACACAUACACCCAGGCAUGUACGGUGACAUAUUUUUUACAGUGGCUGCAUGUUAAAGACGUUCCCAUCUUGCUAGCUGUGCCAUGAUACCUGUGCCUGCCU